rnacentral:rRNA from 1 species
GACGAACCCUGGCGGCGUGCUUAACACAUGCAAGUCGAACGGAAAGGCCCUGCUUUUGUGGGGUGCUCGAGUGGCGAACGGGUGAGUAACACGUGAGUAACCUGCCCUUGACUUUGGGAUAACUUCAGGAAACUGGGGCUAAUACCGGAUAGGAGCUCCUGCUGCAUGGUGGGGGUUGGAAAGUUUCGGCGGUUGGGGAUGGACUCGCGGCUUAUCAGCUUGUUGGUGGGGCAGUGGCUUACCAAGGCUUUGACGGGUAGCCGGCCUGAGAGGGUGACCGGCCACAUUGGGACUGAGAUACGGCCCAGACUCCUACGGGAGGCAGCAGUGGGGAAUAUUGCACAAUGGGCGGAAGCCUGAUGCAGCAACGCCGCGUGCGGGAUGACGGCCUUCGGGUUGUAAACCGCUUUCGCCUGUGACGAAGCGUGAGUGACGGUAAUGGGUAAAGAAGCACCGGCUAACUACGUG